GUAUUCUGAAAGUGGAGUUUGGUCAUUUGCUCCUUCAUGCAACGAUAUAACUCAUCAAAACCUUUUAUCUCAAUAUUCCUUCCUCAUAUCAGGUUUUGAUGUUACUGUAGACCACUUUUAUUGAAGCUCUGUCUCUUAUGCAAUACUUAUUUCUAGGUACAGAAGUAGUCUGAAUCACAGACGUGUUACAUCAGAAGAGAUGGUGGCAUCUGUAGUCGUCUUUCUUACCAUGGCAAUACUUUCAGUUCUGAAGGUCCUGUGACCGGAGCACUGGAUCUCUGGAUCUCUGGAGCUCUUGAAACUGACCAUUGCUGACAAUGGAGAAUACAGAGUGAUCCUAAGAGAGUCUGAUUUGAUGUAUUUGUCAAAUACUUCACUGAAUGUCUAUGGUCUGUGUGUAGGUCAGAAUGUGUUACCACCAGGACCAUUGACUGGAGUCAUAGGAGGGAGAGUGAAGUUCACCACAACCCUCAGUCCACCAGCCAAACCUUUUGUCUCAGUGAGCUGGACCUUCAACAGGGUCAACAUCAUCACCUCCACUAUGGCCAACAUAACUAAUGCUGACUACAAAGACCGGAUCAGUCUGGACAGAACCACUGGCUCUCUGGAGCUGUGGAACUUGGGCCCGAGGGACCAAGGGGAAUACAGAGUCAGCAUCAUACCAGACAGGGCUCUGGAGCUACAAGGAGCUACCACUCUGGAUGUCUAUGUGUUGCUAUCUGCUGCCACCAUCACCAGUCCCCCAGCCACCCUGAUAGCUGGCAUAAGCUCCACCAACCUGACUUGUGAGGCUGCUGGCAACAUCGAUAUGAUAACAGUCAGUGAAAGUGCAGGGCGCCAAAUUCAAAACAACAGAAAUGUCAUAAUUAAAAUUCCUCAAACAUAGAAGUAUUUUACACCAUUUUAAAGAUAAACUUGUUGUUAAUCCCACCACAGUGUGGCGGGCUUUACGACGAAAGCACACCAAACCAUUCCAAACUCACAAUGCGCGGGCUAGUCCAGGCGAAAUUUCAGACAAAAAGUCAUAUUAGAGUUCGUAGAAACAUGUCAAACGAAGUAUAGAAUCAAUCUUUAGGAUGUUUUUAUCAUAAAUCUUCAAUAAUGUUCCAACCGGAGAAUUCCUUUGUAUGCAAUGGAACGCAAGCUAACUCUCACGUGAGCGCGCGUGAUCAGCUCAUGGCACUCUGCCAGACCUCUGACUCAUUCCGCUCCCAUUCCCCCCUCCUUCACAGUAGAAGCAUCAAACAAGGUUCUAAACACUGUUGACAUCUAGUGGAAGCAUUAGGAAGUGCAAUAUGACCCCAUAGACACUAUGUAUUCGAUAGGCAGUGACUUGAAAAACUACAAACCUCAGAUUUCCCACUUCCUGGUUGGAUUUCUUCACAGGUUUUUGCCUGCCAUAUGAGUUAUGUUAUAUUCACAGACAUCAUUCAAACAGUUUUAGAAACUUCAGAGUGUUUCUAUCAAAAUCUACUAAUAAUAUGCAUAUAUUAGCAACUGGGCUUGAGAAGCAGACAGUUUAUUCUGGGCACCUUAAAUAAACUAAAGUAAAAAAUUAUAAAAAGUAACACAAUAAAAUAACAAUAACGAGGCUCUAUACAGGGGGUACCGGUACAGAGUCAAUGUGCGGGGAUACAGGUUAGUCGAGAUCAUUUAUACAUGUAGGUAGGGGUAAAGUGACUAUGCAUAGAUAAUAAACAGCGAGUAGUGUAGGUGAAAAUUCAUGACCAUGGUUGAUUUUGGUUUUCCCAGAAGUAUUGAGACAGAAAACAUAGGUUUAAUUAAUAGACAUGUGUAAGCAGAAUAAAGGCUGAGCUCAGGUGAUUGUACAGACUGGGUCAACAUGGAGUUAAUCACUAGACAUGCAAAAAGAGAACGCAAGCAGAAAAUGUAUGCCUGUGCUGUUGUAGACCUGAGAGGAGUCAUUACCUGGUCAUGUGACUAGCAUUGAGACAUGCAAUUGCAUUAUGUAUGUAUGCCUGUGCUGUUGUAGGCCUGAGGGAAGUCAUUGCCUGGUCCUGUGAGUAGCUUUUAAGGCAUGCGAUUGUAUAUGUAUAUCUGUGCCAUUACAGGCUUGGGGAGAGCCAUUGUGUAGUCCUAUGAGUAUUAUUGGACAGACACCUGCAUUUGUGUAUGGAUACACCACCAAUAUAAUUAUCAUAGGUACACCUCAUAGACACCUGUCCACACACUCAAUCAAACAGACUCUAACCUCUCCACAAUGUCCAAGACCAGUGGGCUGUGUAAGGACAUCAGGGAUAAAAUUGUAGACCUGCACCAGGCUGGGAUGGGCUACAGGACAAUAGGCAAGCAGCUUGGUGAGAAGGCAACAACUGUUGACGCAAUUAUUAGAAAAUGGAAGAAGUUCAAGAUGACGGUCAAUCACCCUCGGUCUGGGGCUCCAUGCAAGAUCUCACCUCUUGGGGCAUCAAUGAUCAUGAGGAAGGUAAGGGAUCAGCCCAGAACUACACGGCAGGACCUGGUCAAUGACCUGAAGAGAGCUGGGACCACAGUUUCAAAGAAAACCAUUAGUAACACACUACACCGUCAUGGAUUAAAAUCCUGCAGCGCACGCAAGGUCCCCCUGCUCAAGCCAGCGCAUGUCCAGGCCCAUCUGAAGUUUGCCAAUGACCAUCUGGAUGAUCCAGAGGAGGAAUGGGAGAAGGUCAUGUGGUCUGAUGAGACAAAAAUAGAGCUUUUGGGUCUAAACACCACUCGCCGAGGAAGAAGAAGGAUGAGUACAACCACUAGAACACCAUCCCAACUGUGAAGCAUGGAGAUGGAAACAUCAUUCUUUGGGGAUGCUUUUCUGCAAAGGGGACAGGACGACUGCACCGUAUUGAGGGGAGGAUGGAUGGGGCCAUAUAUCGCGAGAUCUUGGCCAACAACCUCCUUCCCUCAGUAAGAGCAUUGCAGAUGGGUCAUGGCUGGGUCUUCCAGCAUGACAACGACCCGAAACACACAGCCAGGGCAACUAAGGAGUGGUUCCGUAAGAAGCAUCUCAAAUUCCUGGAGUGGCCUAGCCAGUCUCCAGACCUGAACCCAAUAGAACAUCUUUGGAGGGAGCUGAAAGUCCAUAUUGCCCAGCGACAGCCCCGAAACCUAAAGGAUCUGGAGAAGGUCUGUAUGGAGGAGUGGGCCAAAAUCCCUGCUGCAGUGUGUGCAAACCUGGUAAAGAACUAUAGGAAACGUGUGGUCUCUGUAAUUGCAAACAACGGUUUCUGUACCAAAUAUUAAGUUCUGCUUUUCUGAUGUAUCAAAUACUUUUGUCAUGCAAUAAAAUGCUAAUUAAUUACUUAAAAA